rnacentral:lncRNA from 1 species
UCUGGGGGAUACCAAUCCAGGAAUGAAGUCCACUAUCAGCAGUAUUACUUCGAAGCUAAACUCACCCGUUUACAACUUCUCACUUAAUCACUACCCAAUGACACUUCUACCUAGGAACUCCUAGAUAUGAGACCCCGUCCCAAUUCCCACCUUAACAACACAGACAGCGUUGUUAUUCAAUUCAACAAUCACAACAGGUGGAGACACACU